UUUUUUUUAAGAAUUUGUCGGCUGCUCCAUUUGUAGUAAAAAGUUGACAAAUUUGGAAGAUUCCAGUAAUAUGAAUGCAAGCUGAAUGCCUUUCUGGUAUAUAUGAGCUAUUACUUCUAAUCAUUCUUUCGGGUUGAGAAGAUUUGAAGGUUUUUUUUAAGAAUUUGUCGGCUGCUCCAUUUGUAGUAAAAAGUUGACAAAUUUGGAAGAUUCCAGUAAUAUGAAUGCAAGCUGAAUGCCUUUCUGGUAUAUAUGAGCUAUUACUUCUAAUCAUUCUUUCGGGUUGAGAAGAUUUGAAGGUUUUUUUUAAGAAUUUGUCGGCUGCUCCAUUUGUAGUAAAAAGUUGACAAAUUUGGAAGAUUCCAGUAAUAUGAAUGCAAGCUGAAUGCCUUUCUGGUAUAUAUGAGCUAUUACUUCUAAUCAUUCUUUCGGGUUGAGAAGAUUUGAAGUGGAAAUAAAACAACUGAAUCUUGCUGCUAAUUUCUGUAUGGCUGCUUGCAACCUUUAAUUUGCUAAUAGGCAGAUCCCUGGGCAAUUUGCUGUAAAGAUAAGCAAUUUGGCCUCAAGAAUAAUUGUUAUAGGUGUCGAACACGCAAAAUGAGGUCAAAAUGUUGUCAUAUUGUCCUGUCUGGCGUGACCACACUAGUUUUGGGUGUGACCACGCCGGGUCUAGGUUUGACCACGCCAUUGGAUCUUCAGAUCUUAUUUUGGAAGGUUUUGUCAAGCUAAUUUUUGUUGAAUCUUUAAAAGGUAAGCUAGGGCACGAAUUGAAACUUGCUCGGUUGCAAAGGAGAGUUGGAGACGACUCUAGAAGAAGUUUUGAGAGUUUUCUUAGGUUUCCUCUUCCUCUCUUCGGGUUGAGGUCCUAAGGGUUUCUUCUACCUUUUUCUUUGUAUUAUUCUUUAUGUUUUGAGAGAUUAUUGUAUGAGAGACUAGUUGGUUGUUGUGGAAGAGUGAACAAAUCAU